UCAAAAAAAAAACCCAGUUCGACCCUUUCCGUCAUUCGGCAACCACAAAAAACGCGAGCAGCCGAGCACAGCAGCCUCCCUUUUCGUGCACCCUUUUCUUUUCCGUCACCCAAAACCUAACUCUCUCUCUCUCUCUCAUCUCUCUCUGCGCGCCCAAUUUCUCAAGGUAUUGCUAGAGGGUGUGGGUGGCAGCACAUAGGGGCUUACACAGCUACUCUGACAAGUUUCUAGGCAAGAAAGAGCUCAUCUCCUUUGUAAAGCAGCAAUUUUAUCCUGAUAAAAUGUUCAGAAUUUUGUUCAAAUAUUGUUUCAGUAUCAAAUAAAUUCAUGUACGUCUUCA